rnacentral:tRNA from 2 species
UCCGAGGUUGUUUAAUGGCAGAACGGCACCAGUCUGAGGGCAUAAGGAUUUUUGGUGCAGGUGGCGGUUCGAAUCCGUCUCUCGGAA